rnacentral:rRNA from 1 species
UACGUAGGGUGCGAGCGUUGUCCGGAAUUACUGGGCGUAAAGAGCUCGUAGGUGGUUUGUCGCGUUGUUCGUGAAAUCUCACGGCUUAACUGUGAGCGUGCGGGCGAUACGGGCAGACUGGAGUACUGCAGGGGAGACUGGAAUUCCUGGUGUAGCGGUGGAAUGCGCAGAUAUCAGGAGGAACACCGAUGGCGAAGGCAGGUCUCUGGGCAUUAACUGACGCUGAGGAGCGAAAGCAUGGGGAGCGAACAGG